UACGAAGGGGGCUAGCGUUGCUCGGAACACUGGGCGUAAAGGGUGCGUAGGCGGGUCUUUAAGUCAGGGGAUGAAAUCCUGGAGCUCAACUCCAGAACUGCCUUUGAUACUGAGGAUCUUGAGUUCGGGAGAGGUGAGUGGAACUGCGAGUGUAGAGGUGAAAUUCGUAGAUAUUCGCAAGAACACCAGUGGCGAAGGCGGCUCACUGGCCCGAGUACUGACGCUGAGGUGCGAAAGCGUGGGAGCGAACGGG
rnacentral:rRNA from 1 species